rnacentral:rRNA from 1 species
GACGGGUGAGUAACACGUGGGUAACCUGCCUGUAAGACUGGGAUAACUCCGGGAAACCGGAGCUAAUACCGGAUAGUUCCUUGAACCGCAUGGUUCAAGGAUGAAAGACGGUUUCGGCUGUCACUUACAGAUGGACCCGCGGCGCAUUAGCUAGUUGGUGGGGUAAUGGCUCACCAAGGCGACGAUGCGUAGCCGACCUGAGAGGGUGAUCGGCCACACUGGGACUGAGACACGGCCCAGACUCCUACGGGAGGCAGCAGUAGGGAAUCUUCCGCAAUGGACGAAAGUCUGACGGAGCAACGCCGCGUGAGUGAUGAAGGUUUUCGGAUCGUAAAGCUCUGUUGUUAGGGAAGAACAAGUGCGAGAGUAACUGCUCGCACCUUGACGGUACCUAACCAGAAAGCCACGGCUAACUACGUGCCAGCAGCCGCGGUAAUACGUAGGUGGCAAGCGUUGUCCGGAAUUAUUGGGCGUAAAGGGCUCGCAGGCGGUUUCUUAAGUCUGAUGUGAAAGCCCCCGGCUCAACCGGGGAGGGUCAUUGGAAACUGGGAAACUUGAGUGCAGAAGAGGAGAGUGGAAUUCCACGUGUAGCGGUGAAAUGCGUAGAGAUGUGGAGGAACACCAGUGGCGAAGGCGACUCUCUGGUCUGUAACUGACGCUGAGGAGCGAAAGCGUGGGGAGCGAACAGGAUUAGAUACCCUGGUAGUCCACGCCGUAAACGAUGAGUGCUAAGUGUUAGGGGGUUUCCGCCCCUUAGUGCUGCAGCUAACGCAUUAAGCACUCCGCCUGGGGAGUACGGU